rnacentral:rRNA from 1 species
AUUGAACGCUAGCGGGAUGCCUUACACAUGCAAGUCGAACGGCUUGGCGAACGGGUGAGUAAUGUAUCGGUACGUGCCCCGUAGCGGGGGAGAACUACGCGAAAGCGUAGCUAAUGCCGCAUCCUAUUACAAUGGCCGAUAUCGGAUUAGCUAGUUGGUGGGGGAACGGCUCACCAAGGCGACGAUCCGUAGCUGGUUUGAGAGGACGACCAGCCACACUGGGACGGAGACACGGCCCAGACUCCUACGGGAGGCAGCAGUGGGGAAUUUUGGACAAUGGGGGAAACCCUGAUGCAGCCAUGCCGCGUGUACGAUGAAGGCCUUCGGGUUGUAAAGCACUUUUGGCAGGAAAGCGGUACCUGCAGAAUAAGCACCGGCUAACUACGUGCCAGCCGCCGCGGUAAUAC